rnacentral:lncRNA from 1 species
CUAUAGCUUUGCUAUAGCUUCUAAUAGCUGCUGGACGGGCCACCGCUAAAUGGCAUAGCCCGCUAUUUAAAACAUUGGUAUUAACGCAUAUAAUUUUUUUCUUGAAAAGUUCAGAUAUAUUGAAAUGAAAGCACGGAAGGGAUUUGUUUUGAUGUUAUUAUUACAUAUAAGAGUUGGACGAAAUGUAUUUAAAUCUUGCAUUUCAAGUUAUCAAGGGAGUUGGACUAACUGCCUGCUCAGCUAAUCAAUCAAUAACCUGGCUGGCAAAGGGACUAACUAUGCACAGAUACAUCGAGGAGGGGUUGUGGCAGAGUACAGUACUAACAGGGUCCAUGAAGCAUGGACAUGUACCGAGGUGUUGCAUCGUUC